CGCGAACGAGCUAACGUGGCUGUACGGGAAUACACCUUUACGAAGCAAAAUUUCGUAGUCGUCUCCAAAUACCUGCUUCAGGCAUUGGAACGCCUCUGCGCCCCCCAUGGAUUUGACGGUUUCCACGAGCUCUCCCAGCGACGAAUUUAGCAUUUUAUAUGCACCUCCGCCGUCGGCAUCGUCGCGCUGAAAAUGAACGAAGGCCAAGCACCAUUCCAAACCGUGUCGUGCUGUUCACUGACCUGUUGCAGACAAGAGCCAUUUACGAUCUACUCCUGUUUUCUCUACCCCUUUUCGUAUCUGCACUUCAGCAUAGGGUCACCUUCAGCCUGAAGAAACAAACGUAAAAGAUACGAAAAGAAGGAAGUUAGGAAAAGAUAGCAAUAGGAGGAAGAUACAGCUCGUUUUAUAACCCAGGAUUAGUGUUUUGCUCUGGCUUCUGA